AGGGUUCGAUUCUGGCUCAGGAUGAACGCUAGCUACAGGCUUAACACAUGCAAGUCGAGGGGCAGCAUUUAGUUGCUUGCAAACUAAAGAUGGCGACCGGCGCACGGGUGAGUAACACGUAUCCAACCUGCCGAUAACUCGGGGAUAGCCUUUCGAAAGAAAGAUUAAUAUCCGAUGGUAUAUUAAAACCGCAUGGUUUUACUAUUAAAGAAUUUCGGUUAUCGAUGGGGAUGCGUUCCAUUAGUUUGUUGGCGGGGUAACGGCCCACCAAGACUACGAUGGAUAGGGGUUCUGAGAGGAAGGUCCCCCACAUUGGAACUGAGACACGGUCCAAACUCCUACGGGAGGCAGCAGUGAGGAAUAUUGGUCAAUGGGCGAGAGCCUGAACCAGCCAAGUAGCGUGAAGGAUGAAGGCUCUAUGGGUCGUAAACUUCUUUUAUAUGGGAAUAAAGUUUCCACGUGUGGAAUUUUGUAUGUACCAUAUGAAUAAGGAUCGGCUAACUCCGUGCCAGCCGCCGC
rnacentral:rRNA from 1 species